rnacentral:lncRNA from 1 species
UAGCAAACGAAGUGUAAUAAUAGAUGGCAACCACUUGAUUCAAAGCCGGGAAAGGGUCAUUUUCUAAACAUGCAACACAAUAUCUCUCAAAAUCUAUAAAUCCACAAGAUCUGACUUAACAUCAUAAACGGAGUAGUACAGAACAAGUUGCAAGACACAGGAUAUCGAUAGCUUGGUAUUGUUCCAUCCUUGAACGAGCAUGGAAUUACAGCCUCCUUCCUCUUCUACCACCCUUCCGGCGGGUGCUGUCAGUUGGGACCGGGGUAACAUCCUCUGCUCAACACAAAAAGAACAUCAUGGAUUAAUCCGCUGUAUGACAUCAUAAACUAAAGUGGAAAAUAAAACAUCCUCUGCUCAACACAAAA